UCUUUGAUGGUCUAACGGUCAUGAUUUCCGCUUGUCAAAUCUACAAAGCGCGGGAGACCGGGGUUCGACUCCCCGUCAGAGAG